rnacentral:rRNA from 1 species
GUUUACUUUUAAGUGAAAAGGCUUAAAUGAUCUUGGGGGACGAUAAGACCCUAUAAAACUUUACAGUUUCACUUUUGCUUUUGUGAAUUAAGGUUUAAAAUUAGACAUGAGUGGUCUGUUGUGUUGGGGCGACAAAGAUAAAAAAAGUAACUGUCAGGAAAAAAAAAUAAAAAUAAUUAUAGUAGUUGAUCCUUUUGGUUAGAGAUUAAAAGAUUAAGUUACUUUAGGGAUAACAGCGUAAUUCUCUUUGAGAGUUCUUAUCGACAAGAGUAGUUGCGACCUCGAUGUUGAAUUAAGGGUUCUUUCAGGUGUAGCA